rnacentral:rRNA from 1 species
UGGGGAACUUUGGACAAUGGGCGAAAGCCUGAUCCAGCAAUGCCGCGUGUGUGAAGAAGGCCUUCGGGUUGUAAAGCACUUUUGUCCGGAAAGAAAUCCUUGGCUCUAAUACAGUCGGGGGGAUGACGGUACCGGAAGGAUAAGCACCGGCUAACUACGUGCCAGCAGCCGCGGUAAUACGUAGGGUGCAAGCGUUAAUCGGAAUUACUGGGCGUAAAGCGUGCGCAGGCGGUUUGCUAAGACCGAUGUGAAAUCCCCGGGCUCAACCUGGGAACUGCAUUGGUGACUGGCAGGCUAGAGUAUGGCAGAGGGGGGUAGAAUUCCACGUGUAGCAGUGAAAUGCGUAGAGAUGUGGAGGAAUACCGAUGGCGAAGGCAGCCCCCUGGGCCAAUACUGACGCUCAUGCACGAAAGCGUGGGGAGCAAACAGGAUUAGAUACCCUGGUAGUCCACGCCCUAAACGAUGUCAACUAGUUGUUGGGGAUUCAUUUCCUUAGUAACGUAGCUAACGCGUGAAGUUGACCGCCUGGGGAGUACGGUCGCAAGAUUAAAACUCAAAGGAAUUGACGGGGUCAUAGCUGUUUCC